UGGAGCCCUGUGACUUCGGCUCUUCCCCACGGUCAGAGCAACCAUGGGAGGUCAACGUUUUGAGUGGAUUCAGGACUUGAAGGCAACCACGACAGCAAGGCAGUUCAGGAAAACACAGGCAGCGGAAGGAAAUGCCUGCUAUCGACAGAGCACAUGAAGCUCAAGAUGCAUUAGGAGCAGAGAUGCUUCUUGGAGUCGCCUGCCUACCCAGAGGUGGCUCAGCUGUCAGGAGAAGCAUCCCAGGCUGCCGUGGUUUGUACGCUCAGGCCGUAACUACAGUCCUCCGUCUCCUUCUUCAGGUGGUCUGGGCUUCCUCGAAUGCACACCUUGGCUUUGCACAUAGAAGCCUCACCGCCCACCGGCGUCCGUCCACACUCAGGUCUAGGAGACCGCCUCUCUGUCUCCACCCACAGCUUCCUUCACCUGGACUGUCUCCCUGGGACCAGCAGCCUGCCUGCCCUCUAACGGAGUCCAGCGGAUCUAGCCAAAGAGAGCUGUCAGGGACCACGUGUGUCCAGAAGCUAGAGAAAGGAGGUUUUCAGAAGAGAAAGCCUUGUCACCUUCCACAGAUAAAAAUCUCAGGAGCCUGCUGAUAAUAUUUACGUGGCACCUCAAUGCCAAAGUGCAAAGCUUUUUCCUCACACAGUGGCAUAAAAGGACACCGGAGCAGCCAUGAUGAUACGGCUCCUAUGCUAUAGAAGAAGGACUUGUGGAAUUGGGCCGUGAAGCCAUUGGGACCUGGGCUUUUCUUCUGCCCGGGACCCGGGGAGGAUCUGCACUCUGCUCCAGUCGACGGAUCGCCCUCUCGACGACACCAACUCAGCACCAUUUUAUGGUGCCCUGAGCUUCUGUCUGCCUCAUACGUGGGGGUGAAAAGAGAAAUGGAAAAAGGCUACGGUCCUGAUGGGGAGCAGGGAAUCAUGCAAAGGGAGACUAACGUAGAGGGAGCGCCGCGAGGCCAGCAACAGAACUGCAGUCCUCUCUUCUUGUCCCAGGGGAGCCAUUCAAGCCCUCCGGGUGAACACCGGAAACACCAUGGUGCCACAUGCUGUAGGGCAGAGAUAUUUUGGAGGAAGCUCACCCCCCACCCUACAUGACUGCUACUGACACCUCAGCAUCUACAUCCCGAAGCAGUGACACUACAUCUUCUGCUCCUCCAGUGAGGGUCAGUCCCCAGGGUGAGAUUCGGUCCUUUCCGCAUGUUCCCAGAGUGACCUGCCAAAGAGAGCACUGAUUUACGGAAGGACCACUUGAUGUGAGAUCUGGACCUUCAGUCUGGCAGGCGACUGAAGUCAGCCCAGAAGGUAAAGGUGGUGUUGUGUGUUCUGCUAUAACCUUGAGUGGGGCAGAAAUGACCUGCAGAGCAAGCCUCAGUCACCAGCUUCAGCUCUUUUUGAGUUGGGUGUCCGGAGCAGAUUGCCCUAGAUUCUGUGCACGGAGCCUGGAAUGCCCAAGAUCGCCAUGAUACGUGAAGAAUCAGGCUGAAAAGAAUGCAGUGCUGACCUGUCCUCUAAGCGGGGUCCCAUGGUGGAGACAUUUGCAUGCUUGCAAUAACGUGCGCGCAUUUAAGUGAUGCUUUUACUCUUUGGGGAGUUUAACAAUUUUGAGAACAACCGUCUUAUUAGUCGUGGAAAAAGACACAGCAUGAAGACCCAUAGAAGGCAAAUUCCACUGUUUGCCGAGAGACGGAUUUAUAACCAUUGGCUAUGCAUCAAAACCUGGCUUCAUUUUUUUCCUUCUGUCGUUAAUGUAGACAGGAAAUCACAAUUUCCAGAUGGGGUGAUUCCCCAACCUGCCACACCAUAUAAGGUUCCGGUACAUCUUCUUCUAUUGGAAAGGAAAUCAUCCAUCCCAUUACUGGCCACACAUUGGUAAAAUUAGUGUUUUUAUGGGGGAAACCAUAGGGGUAGCAAAAGAGAAGGCAAGCAAAUGACUUUAUAAGAUUUAAAGCUAUUAGCUAAGAAAUUAGAUAGCAGGAAAGAGCUCACCAGCUUCUCAUUUUUAAUGAUUAAAUACAUUCACAUCGCCACAAGAAUUCUCAACUUCCUGGUGAGUGCGAAAUCCAAAUUCCUUACAUCCAUCACCCCAGAGUCAUCUGGACCCAGUUCUGUGACUGUCUGUAGCACUGGCUUCGUCUCUUGGGGUUUCCCUACCUUUAUAGGGAAGCGCUGUCCUCUUGAAACCUUUCCCCAAAUCAUCUUUUCCUUCUUUUCCCCCUAGCCCUUCAAGCGCAAAACUGCUUUCACUCAUCCGGGUUCUCAGACUCUCUUUCUGAUAACUCCUCUGCGUCUUUCCGCAUACUUACCCACUGUGCUUCUCUCACCAGAAAUGCACGGCACUUUCACAUCGGUUGCGGUGGCAAAGUAUGCGUGGGCUUCCGCUAAGGGCAAAGGGUCCUUCGUUAGGCAAGGCGGUUUGAUGGACAUUACGGAGACCUUAGACGGGAAGUAGGACAGGAUGAACCCCCAUAGCAUAAGUGCUGUGUUGAGGUGAAGGAUUUGCUUUUCUCACAACAUCUACCUAAGAACAAGGGAGCUGUGCACCUCUCCAGGGACUAGAAGUUGACAUUGCACCAAAGAGACAUCAUCUCAAAACUAUUCCACCCCUCGCCUCUUCUGCCAAAGGCCCAUUUAUUUUUUCUAAAAGUGCCUCUGUUUCCCUCCCCUUUACCUUAGGAGGCACUUCACGCCCCAAAUCUAUCCAUCUACUCACGUCACAUUUUUCUCUGAAUUCCUAUGCAUAAGCGAAUCGAGACUUUUUUCAUUCCUUGCUAAUCUGUAUUUGGUCAGUUUUAUGAGCAAGACCUCAGUGAUUGAAUUUAAGAGAAAAAAGAACAAAGUUUUCCUGACUCAGUAUCAGCUACUGGGCUGAAAACGGCUUACGUCUAAACAGAAACAUGGAAAUGAAGCUUUUAAUAUUGAUAUGCAUUAAUGAAAAUGAUGUGUUUUUAAAGGAAUAAUGAGAGUCAUUAAAACUUAUAUACAGUACAUGCGUUAUGUGCAUACAUGUGCAGGCAAAAAUGACGCUCUCUUAAAGAAACUUCGCAGCACCAUUCUCGGAAUUGUGCUUUUUUUUUUUUGUACCCGAGAUCGAAUUCGGGACCUUGUUGCUUGAGAGUCAUGGGGCAAAACCACUGAGCUAAAUCCUCAGCCCUGUUUGUGCUAUUUUGAUUGUCCUCUUUUGCUCGGCAUACUUUCCAGGUUCGUCCAGUCCUGGAAUCCCCUUCCCUUUUCAGGUGGACUCGUACUCCAUUCUGAGUGCAGACCGCCUUUUCUUUAUUCAUUCACUUAGCGAUGGUCGUCUGAGUUUGGACCCCUGGCAGCUGCUGUGAAUGAUUCUUUACUGAGCACGGCUGCGUAUCUAUCGGGUUGAGAUUCUGAUGGUUACCUAGAAAUGAAAUUACACAACCUUAUUAUUAUUUUUUUUUCUUAAGGAAAUUGAGCACCACAGUCCGAGUCAGAGUCAGGAAACGAAAUUCCUGACUCUUAGAUACACCGGGAUAAAGAUAAACUAAUGACACAUGGAGGCCAGUGACUCCCUAGACAUCUGUUUCCCCCGGGCUUUGUAAACAGAGAGAAGCCUGAACAUGGAUUAUAGUUAUCUGAGUAGAGCAGGCCCC